CUCGUAGGCGGCCAACUAAGUCGGACGUGAAAUCCCUCGGCUCAACCGAGGAACUGCGUCCGAUACUGGAUGGCUUGAGUUCGGGAGAGGGAUGCGGAAUUCCAGGUGUAGCGGUGAAAUGCGUAGAUAUCUGGAGGAACACCGUGGCGAAGGCGGCAUCCUGGACCGACACUGACGCUGAGUGAGCGAAAGCCAGGGAGCAAACG
rnacentral:rRNA from 1 species